GUCCACGCCGUAAACGAUGGGUACUAGGUGUGGGAGUUGUCAUGACUUCCGUGCCGUCGUUAACACAGUAAGUACCCCGCCUGGGGAGUACGAUCGCAAGAUUAAAACUCAAAGGAAUUGACGGGGGCCCGCACAAGCAGCGGAGCAUGUGGUUUAAUUCGAAGCAACGCGAAGAACCUUACCUAGACUUGACAUCUCCUGAAUUACCCGUAAUUGGGGAAGCUCUUCGGAGCAGGAAGACAGGUGGUGCAUGGUUGUCGU
rnacentral:rRNA from 1 species